CACCGCGGUUAUACGAGAGACCCAAGUUGAUAGACUACGGCGUAAAGAGUGGUUAAGAUAUAUUUUAAACUAAAGCCGAACGCCCUCAAAGCUGUUAUACGCCUUCGAGGGUAAGAAGCCCAAUCACGAAAGUGGCUUUAACACUUCCGAACCCACGAAAGCUAUGACA
rnacentral:rRNA from 1 species